rnacentral:rRNA from 1 species
CCUACGGGUGGCAGCAGUGGGGAAUAUUGCACAAUGGGGGAAACCCUGAUGCAGCGACGCCGCGUGAGUGAAGAAGUAUUUCGGUAUGUAAAGCUCUAUCAGCAGGGAAGAAAAGGACGGUACCUGAUUAAGAAGCCCCGGCUAACUACGUGCCAGCAGCCGCGGUAAUACGGAGGCGGCAGGCGUUAUCCGGAUUUACUGGGCGUAAAGGGGGCGUAGGCGGCUGGACAAGUCUGGAGUGAAAUGCCGGGGCUUAACCCCGGAACUGCUUUGGAAACUGUCAGGCUAGAGUGGAGGAGAGGUAAGUGGAAUGCGUGGUGUAGCGGUGAAAUGCUUAGAUAUCAGGAAGAACACCGGUGGCGAAGGCAGCUUACUGGCCUGAAACUGACGUUGAGGCUCGAAAGCGUGGGGAGCAAACAGGAUUAGAUACCCGUGUAGUC